CCUCUUCAGUUGAGGGGUUCAGCAAGUCCUUAGCGAGAGGCAUGAUUGCCGACUCUAUUACACACGGCGAAA
rnacentral:lncRNA from 1 species